rnacentral:rRNA from 1 species
UACGUAGGGUGCAAGCGUUAAUCGGAAUUACUGGGCGUAAAGCGUGCGCAGGCGGUUUUGUAAGUCUGACGUGAAAUCCCCGGGCUCAACCUGGGAAUUGCGUUGGAGACUGCAAGGCUAGAAUCUGGCAGAGGGGGGUAGAAUUCCACGUGUAGCAGUGAAAUGCGUAGAGAUGGGGAGGAACACCGAUGGCGAAGGCAGCCCCCUGGGUCAAGAUUGACGCUCAUGCACGAAAGCGUGGGGAGCAAACAGG